rnacentral:rRNA from 1 species
AUUGAACGCUGGCGGCAGGCUUAACACAUGCAAGUCGAGCGGAGAUGAGGUGCUUGCACCUUAUCUUAGCGGCGGACGGGUGAGUAAUGCUUAGGAAUCUGCCUAUUAGUGGGGGACAACAUUCCGAAAGGAAUGCUAAUACCGCAUACGUCCUACGGGAGAAAGCAGGGGAUCUUCGGACCUUGCGCUAAUAGAUGAGCCUAAGUCGGAUUAGCUAGGUGGUGGGGUAAAGGCCUACCAAGGCGACGAUCUGUAGCGGGUCUGAGAGGAUGAUCCGCCACACUGGGACUGAAACACGGCCCAGACUCCUACGGGAGGCAGCAGUGGGGAAUAUUGGACAAUGGGGGAAACCCUGAUCCAGCCAUGCCGCGUGUGUGAAGAAGGCCUUGUGGUUGUAAAGCACUUUAAGCGAGGAGGAGGCUACUGAGACUAAUACUCUUGGAUAGUGGACGUUACUCGCAGAAUAAGCACCGGCUAACUCUGUGCCAGCCGCCGCCGUAA